UUAAUAAUAUAACAUCCAACAUGUACUCAACCAGAAAAAGGAGAUAGGAAGCAUCUCUGUUUCUGGUCAUGUUAUAACAAAUUUGGUAAUAGCAUAUAGAUGAUCAGAAACAGAGGCUAUCUUGCUCAACCUUGGUAAAUCCUUGCACUCCAAAUACCCUUGAAUGGUCAAAUUAUUAGCAACCACCAUUUCGUAAAAAACCUCUUCCAUUUUGUGACACUCACUUCACAUAGUACACUAAUAAGGAAAAACAAAAACUUUCAGGUUGAGUAUGACUCAGAAAUAAGAAAAAAAAUUGCUGCUCUUGACCUUUUCAUAAUUUUCAUGCAUGACAAUAAUUAUCCGACACUUAGAAAAACUGGGUAUAAGUGCAUAUUGGUAUACCAGAAAGCUGAAUUUCAAAAUGAGAGAAAAUAGGUUCGAACAGAUACAACAAAGCUAAUCUGCUUAUACAACUUAAAAACUUAUGUUUAGUGCUAAUCCUACACAGUUUCUCGUAAAAAGGAAAAACAACUGACACAGGGUAUGAAAUUAAUUGAAGUACCAAUAACUCUGUAUACACCAAGACCUUUUGCAUCUGCUGAUGAAGUGUUGAGUGUUAAGACAUCAGUUAACAUUUACGCAUUCAGAAGCCUUUGAGCGAUCUCGUAGUUUGCUUAGAAUGAGAUCAUCAUUGCUUGAUAAAUGUACUACCAAUUCAGUGGUGGUAUCAUCAGCAGAGAAUCCCUUAUCAACCAUUUUAUUGAUAAGUUCUGAUGCUUUUGGUAAAUCGUCAUGCCUGAGAAACCCUUGAAUGAUGACAUUAUAACAACAAUCAUUCGGUAAACAUCCACCCCUUUCCAUGUCUCUAAAAAUAUUAUAUGCUUCGUCCAUUAAUCCUUCUUGGUAAAGUCCUUCCAUAAUUGCACUAUAUAUAUAAACAUUAAGUUGUAAGCCAUUUUCAGAAAGACUAGAAAAUAGUUUCCUGGCAUCAUUAAUAUUCCCAGCUUUGCACAUACCAUUGAUCAAAAUGCUAUAGAUAACAAGAUUAGGCCUCAAUUGACUUUUCUCCAUUUUUGUCAAUAGUGCGAGUGCCUCAUCAUGAUUCCCCUUUCUACAUAAGCCAUAGAUCAUAAUAGAGAAGGUUACAAUAUUUGGCUGUUGACCGUGAAAGCACAUAUCCUUAAAGAGCUCUUGAGCAGUGUGGGGCCUUAUAAGAGUAUUAUAAGUAACAAUAUCAGGAACUAAACUUUUAUGAGACAUUUCAUCAAAAAGUUCAUUUGCCUCAUCUAUCCUAUUGCACUUACAAUAUCCAUUAAUCAGGAAGUUGUAGCUAAAAAUGUCCACUAUUCCAUUGGUCACCAUUCAAUCAAAUAGCUCUCUAGCCUUAUCAAUUUGGUUGCAUAGACAAUAUCCAUCCAUCAGUGCAUUAUAAGUGACAAUGCUAGGUUCCACACCUCUUUGAAUCAUUAUCUUGAUCAUAUUCUGAGCAUCUGAACUCAAUCCUUUCUUACAAAGAGUGUCAAUCAAAAUAUUGAAGGUAACCACAACAGGGAUAUGUUCCGCACCACCAUUUCUUUCAACAAGGCCAAAGCUUCCUUCCAUUGGUCUGAAAUGCAAAGGCCAUCAAUUAAGGAGGUGUAGGUGACCACAUUAGGCUCUACACCUCUUUGGAUCAUUACAUUGAAAGUAUUUUGAGCCUCUGAAACCAUUCCAUCCUUACAAAGAGCAUCAAUCAAUAUAUUGAAGGUAUAAGCAUCAGGUGAUACGUUUUGCUCCACCAUUUCAUUCAUCAAGGCCAAAGCUUGGUUCUUUUUGCCUAAUUUGCAAAAACCAUGAAUUAAAAUGUUGUAAGUGAUGACAUUAGGUGAAAUGCCUUCGUUCCUCAUUUGAGAGAAUAGCUCUAAAGCCUCACCAACUAGCUUAUCCUUGCAGAAGGCAUGGAUGAUUCACAACAUUUGGCUCACAACCUCUAUCAGCCAUUCCCUUCAGCAGCCCAAUGGCCACAUCUGUUUUCCCAAAUUUACACAGUUCGCUUACAAUCCCACUGUAAGUAUAAACAUUAGGUUGACAACCUACUGCAACCAUAUCAUCGAAAAAUUCCACUGCUUUAUCGAUUUUACUCCCCAUGCAAAGCCCAUUAAUUAAGGCUGUAAAUGUCACAAUGGUGGGCUCUAAUCCAAGUUUGAUAAUCUUCCCCAAUAGAGAGAAGCCAAAAUCCGGAAGGUGCAAGUGGGAGAAACAAUUAAUUAAGAUGCCAAGAGAAUAAAUAUCGAGUGAGAAUCCUAGCAAUUCAAUUGUUUCAUUUUCACAAGGGCAGAUAAGAAUUUACUAAAUUGAGCCCUAGAAGGCAGAGGACGCAUAUGAAUGACAUGAUUAAAGGAAGCAAUGGCAUCAUCAAGGUGGGUAAAAGAAGCAGAUUCGAAGUUAUUAGUCAAGAAGCGUGCAUCUUGAAGUGCGGAAGUAGAAGAAUGGAAAGAAUUGGUAAAUAAGAACAGGAAUGGAGAAUGAAUGGUACCAAAUGCCCUUUGCAGUUAAAGAUGGAUGCUGGCGCUGCUCCUCCUCCUCCAAGUCCUCCUCCUCAUCAUCAUCAUCAAUCUUUGUUCUCCUCUGCAGCUGAAGGGAGGUGGGUAAGGACGGACACUGAGAAGCAUGCAAAUCUCUUUAAGAGCUUUGGAGCUGCGUAAGAUUCAUCUUGAUGCUAAAUAUUUU
rnacentral:lncRNA from 1 species